GCAGCCGCGGUAAUUCCAGCUCCAAUAGCGUAUAUUAAAGUUGUUGCAGUUAAAAAGCUCGUAGUUGAAUUUCGGGAUCAAUAUGUUGGUCGUGCCUUGGUACGUACUGGCGUCAUUGGUUUCUACCUUCUGAAGAACCUCGAUGUCAUUAAUUUGGUGUCUUGGGGAAUCAGGACUGUUACUUUGAAAAAAUUAGAGUGUUUAAAGCAGGCUCACGCUUGAAUACAUUAGCAUGGAAUAAUGAAAUAGGACGUUUUGAUUCUAUUUUGUUGGUUUCUAGGAUCGACGUAAUGAUUAAUAGGGGUAGUUGGGGGCAUUAGUAUUCAAUUGUCAGAGGUGAAAUUCUUGGAUUUAUUGAAGACGAACAACUGCGAAAGCAUUUGCCAAGAAUGUUUUCAUUAAUCAAGAACGAAAGUUAGAGGUUCGAAGGUCGAUCAGAUACCACCCUAGUUCUAACCGUAAACGAUGACAACCAGCGAUUAAUCGGCGUUAAUAUAUGACCCGAUUAGCAGCUU
rnacentral:rRNA from 1 species